rnacentral:lncRNA from 7 species
AUAAAGUUACUUUAUUUUCAGUAUACAUUUAAUUUUGAAAAAUAUAAAUGCUAAAAUAUCUCAUCAUCUUCAUCUUUUGAUUCCAUAAAAGUCACAAUAGAAAGCUUCAUAAAACUGUAAAAUACUAUGUUAUAAGGAAUUUCAUGGUUUAUAUUAGUGGAAAAAAUUUUAAUAUAUUGAAAUGUUUUCUGCUUUUUUCGGUUUUGUUCCACCAUCUUGAUCCACUUCAUUUUACAUUAAUUCUUUAUUCUUCCCUCCAAAGCAAAUACAGACUUAAGAGAAUUAAAAAUAAUAAAAGUAUCUGAAAGUGCGUAUUGAUUCCAAGGAAAAAAAAAAAGGUAAUGCAUACAAAUAUAUGUCAGCCGUGACGACAAAUAAGUAGUGGCUACAGAGGCAGACCGUCACCAUUUCCAUGGGUGAUGGCAGGAUUUCUGCCCUCAGUUGGUAGCUGUUCUUGUGGGACUUCGAAGAGAAGCUGUUUGGGGAAGUUUUUGUGGUGUUUUUUUUUUAAAUGGACUCUUCUGAUUUCAGAAGAGCCUUCCCAGAAGCCAGAGGUGCUUAUCCGGGCUUUUCUCAUCAAAUGUCCAAUUCUGAACCAAAAUUAGUUUUAGCUGUAUUGUCACAAGGCCUACAAAGCGCAGUGAAACUCAUCUUGUGGUGACACCAGCCCACCAAAUGCUAUUAGGUGGCUGCUUUUCACUGCCUUCCAUCUCUUGGUGCCAGCAGAGCUCUUGCUUGCUGUCUUUGUCGUUGUUUAAUGUUUGUAUAGGAAAACAAAAAUAGAAAGGACACACAACCUUCCACAAAGUGCUGCUGUCAGGAAGCAGGAAAUGAAAAAUUUCCAGCUCCUGUCUCCAUCCAGAGUUGUUUUGGACAUGGAGAACUACAGCUCGUCUGUUAACGUAAAAAAUAAAAAAGAGAAAGGUCUAGAUCAGCAGUCAAUACAUUUCAAGUACAUUUAACAUGGUUCAAAAGUGGAAGACCUCAUUUUUGUGAAGACAAAUCACCAGGUAAUAGCAGAUGAAAGGAUGCAUUAUGUGUGUGUGCGUAUAUGCAUGUGUGCAGUAUGCUGCAUUUUGAGCAUACUGUAGGUGGGGGGAGGGUUCUUUUGUCAGUGCUCUCUUAAGGAAACCUUUUUCUCUACAUUAACCUAUGCUGAUCUUUCCUUAUUUGGAUUUCUACAAAUAAAGUGUCUGGGCGAAACAUAACAGCUCACAUGCACUGCGUACAUGAUGACACUUGAGUCUGUUUCCCCUUUGGUAGUCUGUGACUUACUUUCACCAAGGAAUUGAAAGAGUUUCUUCUCCAUGUUCACAUUGCACUUCCCAGGUUCUC